rnacentral:rRNA from 1 species
AGAGUUUGAUCCUGGCUCAGGAUGAACGCUAGCGGCAGGCUUAAUACAUGCAAGUCGGGGGGCAGCAUAAUUGUAGCAAUACAGUUGAUGGCGACCGGCAAACGGGUGCGGAACACGUACACAACCUUCCUUUAAGCGGGGAAUAGCCCAGAGAAAUUUGGAUUAAUACCCCAUGGUAUAUUGAAAAGGCAUCUUUUUAAUAUUAAAGAUUUAUCACUUAUUGAUGGGUGUGCGGCUGAUUAGGUAGUUGGCGGGGUAACGGCCCACCAAGCCGACGAUCAGUAACUGGUGUGAGAGCACGACCAGUCACACGGGCACUGAGACACGGGCCCGACUCCUACGGGAGGCAGCAGUAAGGAAUAUUGGUCAAUGGACGAAAGUCUGAACCAGCCAUGCCGCGUGGAGGAUGAAGGUCCUCUGGAUUGUAAACUUCUUUUAUAUGGGACGAAAAAAGGCCUUUCCAGGUCGUCUGACGGUACCAUAUGAAUAAGCACCGGCUAACUCCGUGCCAGCAGCCGUGGUAAUACGGAGGGUGCAAGCGUUAUCCGGAUUCACUGGGUUUAAAGGGUGCGUA